rnacentral:rRNA from 1 species
CGUAGGGUGCGAGCGUUAAUCGGAAUUACUGGGCGUAAAGGGUGCGCAGGCGGUUAUGAGAGACAGGCGUGAAAUCCCCGGGCUUAACCUGGGAACUGCGCUUGUGACUACAUGACUCGAGUACGGCAGAGGGGGGUGGAAUUCCACGUGUAGCAGUGAAAUGCGUAGAGAUGUGGAGGAACACCGAUGGCGAAGGCAGCCCCCUGGGCCAGUACUGACGCUCAUGCACGAAAGCGUGGGGAGCAAACAGGAUUAGAUACCCUGGUAGUCCACGCCCUAAACGAUGUCAACUAGUUGUUGGUAGGGUAAAACCUAUUAGUAACGUAGCUAACGCGUGAAGUUGACCGCCUGGGGAGUACGGCCGCAAGGUUA